rfam:Gorilla gorilla gorilla genomic chromosome, chr5, whole genome shotgun sequence
GCUGGGCGUGGUGGCACAUGCCUGUAGUCCCAACUACUUGGGAGGCUGAGGCAGGAGGAUCACUUGAGCCCAGGAAGUCACGGGUGCAGUGAGUCCCAGUUGUGCCACUGCACUCUAGCCUGGGCAACAGAGCAAGACCCUGUCUCAA